rnacentral:rRNA from 1 species
UGCGUAGGCGGCGUUAUAAGUCAGAGGUGAAAGGCCACCGCUUAACGGUGGGACUGCCUUUGAUACUGUAGUGCUUGAAUAAGGUUGAGGUUAGCGGAAUGUGACAUGUAGCGGUGAAAUGCAUAGAUAUGUCAUAGAACACCAAAUGCGAAGGCAGCUGGCUAGACCUUUAUUGACGCUGAGGCACGAAAGUGUGGGGAGCGAACAGGAUUAGAUACCCUGGUAGUCC